rnacentral:tRNA from 1 species
GGAAGGGCCACCCGAUCGGCGACGGGACCCGCGUGGAAGGCGGGCGAGCGCAAGCCUUGGGGGUUCGAAUCCCUCCCCUUCCGC